UGGGGAAUUUUGGACAAUGGGGGCAACCCUGAUCCAGCAAUGCCGCGUGUGUGAAGAAGGCCUUCGGGUUGUAAAGCACUUUUGUCCGGGAAGAAAUCCCCUGCCCUAAUACGGCGGGGGGAUGACGGUACCGGAAGAAUAAGCACCGGCUAACUACGUGCCAGCAGCCGCGGUAAUACGUAGGGUGCGAGCGUUAAUCGGAAUUACUGGGCGUAAAGCGUGCGCAGGCGGUGAUGUAAGACCGAUGUGAAAUCCCCGGGCUCAACCUGGGAACUGCAUUGGUGACUGCAUUGCUCGAGUAUGGCAGAGGGGGGUGGAAUUCCACGUGUAGCAGUGAAAUGCGUAGAGAUGUGGAGGAACACCGAUGGCGAAGGCAGCCCCCUGGGCCAAUACUGACGCUCAUGCACGAAAGCGUGGGGAGCAAACAGGAUUAGAUACCCUGGUAGUCCACGCCCUAAACGAUGUCAACUGGUUGUCGGGCCUUCAUUGGCUUGGUAACGUAGCUAACGCGUGAAGUUGACCGCCUGGGGAGUAC
rnacentral:rRNA from 1 species